AUACUUACCUGGUGCCGGGAUAACCGUGAUCAACGAGGCGGUGUCCCCAGAGUGAGGCACGGGCAGGGGUCAGCACUGCGCCCGUGCUGACCCCUGCCACUACCCCAAACUGGGGCAGAUGGGGCAUGUAAUUUUUGGUAGUGGGGGACUGCGUUCGCGCUAUCCCCCU
rnacentral:snRNA from 1 species